GGGAAGUAAAAAUGGUAACAAGGUCUCCGUUGGUGAACCAGCGGAGGGAUCAUUA
rnacentral:rRNA from 1 species